AAGAUAGCAAACGGGUGAGUAUGGCGUAGAAACUAACCUAGAAAUUUAGUUAAAAACUUCAAAAUUUAUUUGUUUUUAGAAAGGUCUACGUAAAAUUAAGUAGUUGGUUAGAUUAAAUCCUUACCAAGCUUAUGAUUUUUAGUUGGUCUAUGAGGAUGAACAGCCACAUUGGAAUUGAGAUAUGGUCCAAACUCUAUAUUAAGAGGCAGCAGUGGGGAAUAUUGGGCAAUGAAUAAUAGUUUGACCCAGCUAAGUCAUGUGUAUGAUGAAGAUGUUUGAUUGUAAAGUACUUUUGUGAGUUAUAAUAAUGAUUGAUUUUUGAAUAAACCCUGGCUAAUUUCGUGCCAGCAGCCGCGGUAAAACGA
rnacentral:rRNA from 1 species